rnacentral:rRNA from 1 species
GAUGAACGCUGGCGGCGUGCCUAAUACAUGCAAGUCGAACGCAUUGUGGUUGAAAUGAUAUGAAGAACUUGUUCAGACUUGAUUUUCAACAUUGCAAUGAGUGGCGAACGGGUGAGUAACACGUGGGAAACCCACCUCUUAGCAGGGGAUAACAUUUGGAAACAAAUGCUAAUACCGUAUAAUAAUUAAAACCGCAUGGUUUUAGUUUAAAAGAUGGUCUUGCUAUCACUAAGAGAUGGUCCCGCGGUGUAUUAGUUAGUUGGUGAGGUAAUGGCUCACCAAGACAAUGAUACAUAGCCGAGUUGAGAGACUGACCGGCCACAAUGGGACUGAGACACGGCCCAUACUCCUACGGGAGGCAGCAGUAGGGAAUCUUCCACAAUGGACGAAAGUCUGAUGGAGCAACGCCGCGUGUGUGAUGAAGGGUUUCGGCUCGCAAAACACUGUUGUAAGAGAAGAAUGACAUUGAGAGUAACUGUUCAAUGUGUGACGGUA